UACGGGAGGCAGCAGUGGGGAAUAUUGCACAAUGGGGGAAACCCUGAUGCAGCGACGCCGCGUGAGGGAUGACGGCCUUCGGGUUGUAAACCUCUUUCAGUAGGGAAGAAGCCUUUCGGGGUGACGGUACCUGCAGAAGAAGUACCGGCUAACUACGUGCCAGCAGCCGCGGUAAU
rnacentral:rRNA from 1 species